rnacentral:rRNA from 1 species
UACGGAGGGGGCUAGCGUUGUUCGGAAUUACUGGGCGUAAAGCGCACGUAGGCGGACUGUUAAGUCGGGGGUGAAAUCCUGGGGCUCAACCUCAGAAUUGCCUCCGAUACUGGCAGUCUCGAGUGCGGGAGAGGUGAGUGGAAUUCCCAGUGUAGAGGUGAAAUUCGUAGAUAUUCGGAGGAACACCAGUGGCGAAGGCGGCUCACUGGUCCGGUACUGACGCUGAGGUGCGAAAGCGUGGGGAGCAAACAGG